UACAGAGACUGCAAGCGUUAUUCGGAAUCACUGGGCGUAAAGGGUGCGUAGGCGGGUCUUUAAGUCAGGGGUGAAAUCCUGGAGCUCAACUCCAGAACUGCCUUUGAUACUGAAGAUCUUGAGUUCGGGAGAGGUGAGUGGAACUGCGAGUGUAGAGGUGAAAUUCGUAGAUAUUCGCAAGAACACCAGUGGCGAAGGCGGCUCACUGGCCCGAUACUGACGCUGAGGCACGAAAGCGUGGGGAGCAAACAGG
rnacentral:rRNA from 1 species